rnacentral:rRNA from 1 species
UCGUGAUGAUGGCAUUGAGGUCACACCUGUUCCCCACACCUGUUCCCAUACCGAACACAGAAGUUAAGCUCAGUAGCGCCGAAAGUAGUUGGAGGAUCGCUUCCUGCGAGGAUAGGACGUCGCUAUGC